CUACGGGGGGCUGCAGUGAGGAAUUUUGCGCAAUGGGGGAAACCCUGACGCAGCAACGCCGCGUGAGCGAAGAAGGCCUUCGGGUCGUAAAGCUCUGUCAAGUGGGAAAAAAAUUCUUUGAUGAACAGUCAAAGGACUUGAUGGUACCACUGGAGGAAGCACCGGCUAACUCCGUGCCAGCAGCCGCGGUAAUACGGAGGGUGCAAGCGUUGUUCGGAAUUACUGGGCGUAAAGAGCGUGUAGGCGGUUUGACAAGGCAGAUGUGAAAGCCCCGGGCUCAACCCGGGAAGUGCAUUUGAAACUGUUUCACUAGAGUAUGGGAGAGGAGAUUGGAAUUCCUAGUGUAGAGGUGAAAUUCGUAGAUAUCAGGAGGAACACCCGUGGCGAAGGCGAUUCUCUGGACCAAUACUGACGCUGAGACGCGAAAGCGUGGGGAGCAAACAGGAUUAGAUACCCUCGUAGUC
rnacentral:rRNA from 1 species